CGGGGUGAGUAAUGUCUGGGAAACUGCCUGAUGGAGGGGGAUAACUACUGGAAACGGUAGCUAAUACCGCAUAACGUCGCAAGACCAAAGAGGGGGACCUUCGGGCCUCUUGCCAUCGGAUGUGCCCAGAUGGGAUUAGCUAGUAGGUGGGGUAAUGGCUCACCUAGGCGACGAUCCCUAGCUGGUCUGAGAGGAUGACCAGCCACGCUGGAACUGAGACACGGUCCAG
rnacentral:rRNA from 1 species